AAAUGAAUUGACGGGGGCCCGCACAAGCAGUGGAGUAUGUGGUUUAAUUCGAAGCAACGCGAAGAACCUUACCAAGCCUUGACAUCUCCUGCAUAGCCUAGAGAUAGGUAAAAUCCUUAGGGACAGGAAGACAGGUGGUGCAUGGUUGUCGUCAGCUCGUGUCGUGAGAUGUUGGGUUAAGUCCCGCAACGAGCGCAACCCUUACUGAUAGUUACUACGCGAAGAGGACUCUAUCGGGACUGCCGUUGAUAAAACGGAGGAAGGUGGGGAUGAUGUCAAAUCAUCAUGCCCUUUAUGGCUUGGGCUACACACGUACUACAAUGGGCGAAACAGACGGGACCGAAAGGGCGACCUGGAGGGAAUCUGAGAAAAGCGCACUCAGUUCGGAUUGGAGGCUGCAACUCGCCUCCAUGAAGUCGGAAUUGCUAGUAAUCGCGGAUCAGCAUGCCGCGGUGAAUACGUUCCCGGGCCUUGCACACACCGCCCGU
rnacentral:rRNA from 1 species